rnacentral:ncRNA from 1 species
ACAGUACAAACUGAUCAGGCGGUCAACCUCUAAUAGGUUUUUGCAGCCGGGCCCCUUGGGCAGCAGACUAGAAUUAGGCGUCUGCGGGACAGU